AUUAUAUUAACAAGAUGCUCACUCCUUCAGAUCACAGAGUGGUGCGAGCCGUUCGGAACUGCAGGGCCAUCCACACUCUAGUGUUUGUUUCUGGCAAGCCCCCUGGUGAAAGCACAAGGAACUUCAUUGAACGGCUGCCCUGCCCUGAAUUUCAGACCUACCAGCAACUCCAGUUGAUGCUAUUUCUUGGUGGCAUAUUUGUACAAUGGAAUGUUACUCAUCUUAAAGGAAUGCUGGGCUGAUAUAUACUACAAUGUGGAUGAACCUUGAGCAUACCAUGGCUAAGUAAAAGAAGCCAUGAAAGUUAUACAUAUUGUACAAGUCCAUGAAAUGCCUAUGCUUUGAUUUGCCUGUAAUUUGAGCGUUCUUCCAGGUUUUCAUGUAUUGAAAUUAAUGCCUGUCAUGAAGUAUGAAGCGUUUGGAAACAUAAUCUAAUUAUAGUGUUUAGAGUCUUCAGGGAGUGAAUGAUUGUGAUUAGAUAAUGUAUUAGAGUGGAGGCUCUAAGAUGGAUUUCUCGUUGCUUAUAAGAAGGAAGGAGGAUACACAAACGCAUGGGCACUCACUGUUUCUUCCAAUGCUGUCACCUGUGCCACCUGGGAACACUUACUGAUAAGGAAGUCAUCAUCAGAUACGAUCCAUCUCCUUUCAAUCAGAACUAAUAACCAAAAUAAAUUCAUUUUCUUCAUGAGUCACCGAGUUUGUGGUUUAAUACCUAUUGGCAAAAGAAACGGAUGAAUAUAGUCUAGAAUAGGCAAAUAUAUUGAGAUGCAAAGUACAUUAGUAGUUACUUCAUCUAGGAGAAGGUACAUGUGGAAUGGGUGUUUAAUGGAUAUUGGCUUCUUUGGGGGAGUGAAGUAAUGUUCUGGAACUAGAUUAUUGUAAUGAAUAAAUGGCUUUGAACU
rnacentral:lncRNA from 1 species